CCUUUUCGCACACAAUGUUGGCAGGCCCACUCUCCUAUUCUCACUCUCCUUCCUGAUUAUUUCAAGUGCUCUUCCAUUGUCACCUAGGCGGGGUUUGUGACUGUUGCUAUACUUUAGUGCUGAAGCAGUUAUUACUAUAGUUCUUGGCUCAUAGUUACGUGCUACCGCCAAGCGUAAAAUUUGCUGUGAUAAAGUUCGAAGGCAGCAGGAGAGCGGAGAGCAUAGUAGUGUAUAGUCUUUGGAGCGGCACAGACCUGGGUUCAAGUCUCAGCUACACCCCUGAACAGCCACGGAAUGCUGAGCCUGUCACACGACCUCUCUGAGCCUCAGGUUACUCAGCUCUCCAGUACAGUACUGAACAGACGUAGGAGCGGACAUCUUUACCUUGUUUCUCAUCUCAGGAGAAAACAGUCAGUACUUUACCAGACGAAUGAGGUUAGCUAUCGACUCUUCAAAGAUGUCCUUUAUCAAGUGGUCAGUUACAUGGACCGAUUGUCAAAUGUGGCGACAAUCCCGUAUUCCCAGCUCUCUGGAAUCCAUCAAUAUCAGCAUCGUGGGAUCAACAGUGUCUGCAUUGCCACUGUGGUUGCUCUCACACUCAUGACCCCCCAGCCAGACACCAUCAUGGUCACUAGAGGACACACACCCUGACACAGCCCCUCAGUGGCCAGGAGAUCCCUGUGUCCUUCUCUCACUUGCUUAUUCCAGGGCUCAGGGCUCAGAGGCCAGUCCCCACCCCCAUACAUUCCCAUCAGAGAAGUCUUUGAGGAACACGGCCGCCCAUUCCCUGCUCCCUUCCACACCAGGAAGUCAGCUGUGGGUGGAUAUGAGUGACUAAGUGACACGGUGGAGGGAUGGCUCAGGAUGUGGGGGUUGGUGCAGGAACAACAUCACUUGGCUAUAGGAUAGGAGUUGAGGGGUUGGCAGAGGUAUAAGGUUAUGGAGGACGAAACCUUGGGUAAGAGGAGCCAAGGUGAGAGAAAUGAGUGUCAGCUCCUAGGAUUCGUGGAAGCAUCAAUUCCUGUGACACCACAAUGCUCUAUAAUUUAGAAGCCCCUUUAUAUGUUAACCAGUUUUUAACCUUCACAGCAUGCUGUGAGCUAGGCAAGACCAUUAUUACUGUCCCCAUUAUACAGGUGGUGAAACUGAGGCACAGACAUCAACUUGUCCAAAAUCGCACAGCCAAUUAGUGUGACCUUUUAUUCUCUAUUAACUUUCAAAACAGCCCUAUUUUACAGACAAGGAAACUGAUGUGCAGACUGAACAAAUGCGGAGCUGUGGCUCUCCAACUUUAGCCCUCACCUAGGAAAGCUGCAGGCCCUCCGGCCCGAACAGGGUUAAGCCAGAGAAGAUCACCAACAAGUUGAGCUGCCCUGUGUCGUCUGACCACUCCUGGUUUCGGAUGACAGAACCUGCCAGCAAAAUACACCAGGGGCCCUGCCUUCCUGGCUGCUCUGGGUGUGAAACGCCCAUCUGACACAUUUCUUCCCUGUUCUAAGUUGUGUGAAUGAUAUAUUUUAAAAAGGAGGGGGUGGGAUCUGUUCUGAUAGUUACCCACACUCCGAUUCCGGCUGGAUUAUGUGACUCCUUUUUGUUGCUGUCAUUUGUUUUUAAACCAGAAAAUCCUCUAUGAAACUUGGUCUACACAUUUUCUGGUAAUUGAAUCAAAGGCUGGCAAAGGAUAAAAGUGACCGAAUAUCUCACGGUCCUUAAAUAUGUUCUCAGCUCAAGGAAGCAAAUUAUACCUGAGGGACAGCCGGAUCUAGGAGUUCCCUGCUCCUGGUACAAGGUACUUGCUGUAUGUCAGGUUCUUUUUAUGGACUGAGAUGCCAUGGG
rnacentral:lncRNA from 1 species